CCUAUGCUGUGGUGGGAGGCAAAGGGGAGCUGAAAUGAAAUCUUUAUUAUUGUCAUAAAGACAUGUACCCUGGCUUCUAGAUCCACAAAGAAAAGAUAGAUGUCACCUCUCUCCUGUAAUAUCCAUAGGCUGUGCCUGAGGAAAUGACAGUAAUAGGCCUUGGCAACACCCGGGCACACAAGAGAGUCUAAGGCCUGGAGGAAAAAAUUCCAUGGCAACACUGGGAUUGAAGAGUUCUUGCUGAAGAUCGAAGAUGUGAGCACAGCCUCGAGUUGUGGGUUGUGACUAAUAAAAUAGCAGUUUUGUAAAGCC